UACGAGGGGGGCGGGCGUUGUUCGGAAUUAUUGGGCGUAAAGGGUGCGUAGGCGGCCUGACAAGUCUGAUGUGAAAUCCCUGGGCUCAACCCAGGGCCUGCAUCGGAAACUGUCGGGCUUGAGUAUGGGAGAGGUGAGUGGAAUUUCCGGUGUAGCGGUGAAAUUCGUAGAUAUUCGGAAGAACACCAGUGGCGAAGGCGACUACCUGGUCUGGCAUUGACGCUCAUGUGCGAAAGCGUGGGGAGCAAACAGG
rnacentral:rRNA from 1 species